rnacentral:rRNA from 1 species
CUGAAUCCAUAGGUUAAUGAGGCGAACCGGGGGAACUGAAACAUCUAAGUACCCCGAGGAAAAGAAAUCAACCGAGAUUCCCCCAGUAGCGGCGAGCGAACGGGGAGGAGCCCAGAGCCUGAAUCAGCAUGUGUGUUAGUGGAAGCGUCUGGAAAGGCGCGCGAUACAGGGUGACAGCCCCGUACACAAAAGCGCAUGUGCUGUGAGCUCGAUGAGUAGGGCGGGACACGUGGUAUCCUGUCUGAAUAUGGGGGGACCAUCCUCCAAGGCUAAAUACUCCUGACUGACCGAUAGUGAACCAGUACCGUGAGGGAAAGGCGAAAAGAACCCCGGCGAGGGGAGUGAAAAAGAACCUGAAACCGUGUACGUACAAGCAGUGGGAGCACCCUUUGGGUGUGACUGCGUACCUUUUGUAUAAUGGGUCAGCGACUUAUAUUCUGUAGCAAGGUUAACCGAAUAGGGGAGCCGGAGGGAAACCGAGUCUUAACCGGGCGUUAAGUUGCAGGGUAUAGACCCGAAACCCGGUGAUCUAGCCAUGGGCAGGUUGAAGGUUGGGUAACACUAACUGGAGGACCGAACCGACUAAUGUUGAAAAAUUAGCGGAUGACCUGUGGCUGGGGGUGAAAGGCCAAUCAAACCGGGAGAUAGCUGGUUCUCCCCGAAAGCUAUUUAGGUAGCGCCUCGUGAAUUCAUCUCCGGGGGUAGAGCACUGUUUCGGCUAGGGGGCCAUCCCGGCUUACCAACCCGAUGCAAACUGCGAAUACCGGAGAAUGUUAUCACGGGAGACACACGGCGGGUGCUAACGUCCGUCGUGAAGAGGGAAACAACCCAGACCGCCAGCUAAGGUCCCAAAGUCAUGGUUAAGUGGGAAACGAUGUGGGAAGGCCCAGACAGCCAGGAUGUUGGCUUAGAAGCAGCCAUCAUUUAAAGAAAGCGUAAUAGCUCACUGGUCGAGUCGGCCUGCGCGGAAGAUGUAACGGGGCUAAACCAUGCACCGAAGCUGCGGCAGCGACACUGUGUGUUGUUGGGUAGGGGAGCGUUCUGUAAGCCUGUGAAGGUGUGUCGUGAGGC